rnacentral:rRNA from 1 species
AGAGCGUAGGGAGGAUACCUAGGCACCAAGAGCCGAAGAAGGACGUGAUAAGCUGCGAAAAGCUAUGGUAAGGAGCAAAUAUCCUAUGACCCAUAGAUAUCCGAAUGAGGGAACUCAUCCACAGAAAAAAGUGUGGAUAUCCAUAUAUGAGUAAAGUAGUAUAUAGGAAGGGAACGCAAGGAACUGAAACAUCUUAGUACUUGUAGGAAGAGAAAGAAAAAUCGAUUCUGUGAGUAGUGGCGAGCGAAAGCGGAAGAGCCCAAACCAAUGUUGCUUGCAACGUUGGGGUUCGGACUACAUAAUCCAUUUAUCGAGCGAAUAAGAAUUGUUUGGGAAGGCAAAUCAUAGAAGGUGAAAAUCCUGUAUUAGAAGUGAGAUAGAGGAGGUAGUAUCCAGAGUAGUGCGAGGCACGUGAAACCUCGUAUGAAAGAGCGGGGACCACCCCGUAAGGCUAAAUACUACUUGGUGACCGAUAGAGAUUAGUACCGUGAGGGAAAGGUGAAAAGAACCCCGGGAGGGGAGUGAAAUAGAACAUGAAACCCUAUGCUUACAAACAGACAAAGCACGUUAAGGUGUGAUGUCGUACUUUUUGUAGAACGGUCCAGCGAGUUAUUGUAUAUGGCAAGGUUAAGCACUAUGUAAGGUGUGAAGCCGAAGCGAAAGCGAGUCUGAAAAGGGCGAAUUAAGUCAUAUGUAAUAGACCCGAAACCGGGUGACCUAACCAUGGUCAGGAUGAAGCUUGAGUAAAAUCAAGUGGAGGUCCGAACUGAUAAGCGUUAAAAAGCUUCCGGAUGAACUGUGGUUAGCGGAGAAAUUCCAAUCGAACUCGGAGAUAGCUGGUUCUCCUCGAAAUAGCUUUAGGGCUAGCCUUGAUGUAAAGAUAUAUGGGGGUAGAGCACUGAAGGUGCUAGGGGCCUAAACCAGGUUACUGAACACUAUCAAACUCCGAAUACCAUAUAUUAGUAGUCAGGAGUCAGACUGCGGGAGCUAAGUUCCGUGGUCAAAAGGGAAAGAGCCCAGAUCGUCAAUUAAGGUCCCAAAGAUAUAGCUAAGUGGGAAACGAUGUGAAAUUGCGUAAACAACCAGGAUGUUGGCUUAGAAGCAGCCAUACAUUUAAAGAGUGCGUAAUAGCUCACUGGUCGAGUGAAUUUGCGCGGAAAAUUACCGGGGCUAAGCUAUACACCGAAAUUGCGGGUUAUGAUGUAUCUAAUAAUGUGUAUCAGAAGGGUACAUAUUAUUAGAUACAUUGUAGCGGUAGAGGAGCAUUCUGUAGUAGGGUGAAGUAUGAUCGAAAGGACAUAUGGACGAGGCAGAAGAGAGAAUGCUGGAAUAAGUAGCGAGAGCAAAGUGAGAAUCUUUGCCGUCGAAAGUCUAAGGUUUCCUGGGGAAGGUUCGUCCGCCCAGGGUAAGUCGGGACCUAAGGUGAGGCCAAGGAGGCGUAGCCGAUGGAUAGCAGGUAUAAAAUUCCUGCACUACCGAAAUACUUAAAAACGAUAAGGGACGCAGGAGAGGAAGGAAAUCCGGGAAGAGGAAAAACCGGAGCCGAAAGGCAUAGUGAAAAUUUAAAGUAACGAAGUUCCAAGAAUCACACUGACGAGAAAAGCUUAUUGACAUUGUAUUAAGGUACCCGUACCGCAAACCGACACAGGUAGAUGAGGAGAGGAUCCUAAGACGAGCGAGAGAAGUACUGUUAAGGAACUCGGCAAACUAACCCCGUAACUUAGGGAGAAGGGGUACCUAUGUAAAAGUAGGUCGCAGAGAAGAGUCCCAAGCAACUGUUUAACAAAAACACAGGUUUCUGCUAAAUCGAAAGAUGAAGUAUAGGAGCUGACGCCUGCCCAGUGCUGGAAGGUUAAGGGGAAAUGUUAGAGUAAUCGAAGCAUAGAACUAAAGCCCCAGUGAACGGCGGCCGUAACUAUAACGGUCCUAAGGUAGCGAAAUUCCUUGUCAGGUAAGUUCUGACCCGCACGAAAGGCGUAAUGAUUUGGGCACUGUCUCGACAAUGUACCCGGCGAAAUUGUAGUACUAGUGAAGAUGCUAGUUACCUGCGACAAGACAGAAAGACCCCAUGGAGCUUUACUGUAGUUUGAUAUUGGGUUUUGGUAAUUUAUGUACAGGAUAGGUGGGAGACAGAGAAGGAUGUGCGUCAGCAUAUCUGGAGUCAACGUUGGGAUACCACUCUUAAGUUAUUGAAAUUCUAACUUGUGAUCAUAAACUGGUCAGAGGACAAUGUCAGACGGGCAGUUUGACUGGGGCGGUCGCCUCCAAAAGAGUAACGGAGGCGCCCAAAGGUUCCCUCAGUGCGGACAGAAAUCGCACAAAAGAGUGUAAAGGCAGAAGGGAGCUUAACUGGAAGAUAGACAUAUCGAGCAGAUACGAAAGUAGGGCUUAGUGAUCCGGUGGAAUUGAAUGGAAAAGCCAUCGCUCAACGGACAAAAGUUACCCUGGGGAUAACAGGCUUAUCUCCCCCAAGAGUUCACAUCGACGGGGAGGUUUGGCACCUCGAUGUCGGCUCAUCGCAUCCUGGAGCGGAAGUACGUUCCAAGGGUUGGGCUGUUCGCCCAUUAAAGCGGUACGCGAGCUGGGUUCAGAACGU